UACAGGCUUAACACAUGCAAGUCGAGGGGCAGCAUGGUCUUAGCUUGCUAAGGCCGAUGGCGACCGGCGCACGGGUGAGUAACACGUAUCCAACCUGCCGUCUACUCUUGGACAGCCUUCUGAAAGGAAGAUUAAUACAAGAUGGCAUCAUGAGUCCGCAUGUUCACAUGAUUAAAGGUAUUCCGGUAGACGAUGGGGAUGCGUUCCAUUAGAUAGUAGGCGGGGUAACGGCCCACCUAGUCUUCGAUGGAUAGGGGUUCUGAGAGGAAGGUCCCCCACAUUGGAGCUGAGACACGGUCCAAACUCCUACGGGAGGCAGCAGUGAGGAAUAUUGGUCAAUGGGCGAGAGCCUGAACCAGCCAAGUAGCGUGAAGGAUGACUGCCCUAUGGGUUGUAAACUUCUUUUAUAAAGGAAUAAAGUCGGGUAUGGAUACCCGUUUGCAUGUACUUUAUGAAUAAGGAUCGGCUAACUCCGUGCCAGCAGCCGCGGUAAUACGGAGGAUCCGAGCGUUAUCCGGAUUUAUUGGGUUUAAAGGGAGCGUAGAUGGAUGUUUAAGUCAGUUGUGAAAGUUUGCGGCUCAACCGUAAAAUUGCAGUUGAUACUGGAUAUCUUGAGUGCAGUUGAGGCAGGCGGAAUUCGUGGUGUAGCGGUGAAAUGCUUAGAUAUCACGAAGAACUCCGAUUGCGAAGGCAGCCUGCUAAGCUGCAACUGACAUUGAGGCUCGAAAGUGUGGGUAUCAAACAGGAUUAGAUACCCUGGUAGUCCACACGGUAAACGAUGAAUACUCGCUGUUUGCGAUAUACUGCAAGCGGCCAAGCGAAAGCGUUAAGUAUUCCACCUGGGGAGUACGCCGGCAACGGUGAAACUCAAAGGAAUUGACGGGGGCCCGCACAAGCGGAGGAACAUGUGGUUUAAUUCGAUGAUACGCGAGGAACCUUACCCGGGCUUAAAUUGCAGAUGAAUUACGGUGAAAGCCGUAAGCCGCAAGGCAUCUGUGAAGGUGCUGCAUGGUUGUCGUCAGCUCGUGCCGUGAGGUGUCGGCUUAAGUGCCAUAACGAGCGCAACCCUUGUUGUCAGUUACUAACAGGUUCCGCUGAGGACUCUGACAAGACUGCCAUCGUAAGAUGUGAGGAAGGUGGGGAUGACGUCGAAUCAGCACGGCCCUUACGUCCGGGGCUACACACGUGUUACAAUGGGGGGUACAGAGGGCCGCUACCACGCGAGUGGAUGCCAAUCCCCAAAACCUCUCUCAGUUCGGACUGGAGUCUGCAACCCGACUCCACGAAGCUGGAUUCGCUAGUAAUCGCGCAUCAGCCACGGCGCGGUGAAUACGUUCCCGGGCCUUGUACACACCGCCCGUCAAGCCAUGGGAGCCGGGGGUACCUGAAGUGCGUAACCGCGAGGAGCGCCCUAGGGUAAAACUGGUGACUGGGGCUAAGUCGUA
rnacentral:rRNA from 1 species